rnacentral:snRNA from 1 species
UCGCUUCAGUAGCGUAUAUAUUAAAAUUAGGACGAUAUAGAGAAGAUUAGCAUGGCCCAUGUGCAAGGAUGACACGUAAAUUUGUGAAGCAUUCCAUAUUUUA